CAUCCAGGGGAAGCUCAGAGUACAGCUUCUGCUCCUUCACAUCGAAAGGAGCCAGCUGAGGUGAUUUGGGCACCUGGAUGACUCCCUCUGGAGGUGUUCCAGGUACGUUCAACUGGUAGGAGACCCCGGGACAGACCCAGAACACACUGGAGGGUCUAUAUAUCUCCUCUGGCCUGGGAAUGCCUUGGGAUCCCCCAGGAAGAGCUGGAGGGCAUUGCCAGGAUGAAGGAUGUCUUGGUUUCCUUACUCAGUCUGAUGCCACCAUGACCCGGACUCGGAUAAGCAGCGGAAAAUGGACGAAUGAAUGGAUGGAGCAACACAACCAAGUUAGUAGAGGUACCAACAACAUGAUUGGUUUCCACCUGUGCAGUCUGGUCAUGCUGCUUAUUGGUUCCCUCGGACUUCGGACUGGCCUAUCAUCAUUCUGGGCCCUCAGUAAAAGGAGUACGCCUCACGAGUUCAUUUUUUUUCUCUGCUCAUGGCCUGUUUGAGCUGCUGUUCAACUGUUUGAGUAACUUGUUGAGAGUAAUAGAGAAAAGGUAUGUGGUGGGAGGUUGGGGCACUUUCCACACACUUUCUGUCUAGAGACACACUAGGAUGAUUGGUUGUUGACACCUCCGUAUUUUCUUAGAUAAGCAAGUUAAGUCUUUUGGUCGUGUUUUUGUUUUGGCACGACCACCUCGUCCAACCCUCCUCCACAUUUUGAGAACCUUUGUUAUGUUUGCAAAUGAGUUGAAAAUAAAUCAUUUCAUCACUUCUCCUCUUA